rnacentral:rRNA from 1 species
AUUGAACGCUGGCGGCAGGCUUAACACAUGCAAGUCGAGCGGGGGAAGGUAGCUUGCUACCGGACCUAGCGGCGGACGGGUGAGUAAUGCUUAGGAAUCUGCCUAUUAGUGGGGGACAACAUCUCGAAAGGGAUGCUAAUACCGCAUACGUCCUACGGGAGAAAGCAGGGGAUCUUCGGAACUUGCGAUAAUAGAUGAGCCUAAGUCGGAAUAGUUAGUUGGUGGGGUAAAGGCCUACCAAGGCGACGAUCUGUAGCGGGUCUGAGAGGAUGAUCCGCCACACUGGGACUGAGACACGGCCCAGACUCCUACGGGAGGCAGCAGUGGGGAAUAUUGGACAAUGGGGGGAACCCUGAUCCAGCCAUGCCGCGUGUGUGAAGAAGGCCUUAUGGUUGUAAAGCACUUUAAGCGAGGAGGAGGCUACUUUAGUUAAUACCUAGAGAUAGUGGACGUUACUCGCAGAAUAAGCACCGGCUAACUCUGUGCCAGCAGCCGCCGUAAAAC